rnacentral:rRNA from 1 species
UACGUAGGAGACGAGCGUUGUCCGGAGUUACUGGGCGUAAAGGGUGCGCAGGUGGCGGCGCGCGUGGGGGGUGAAAUCGCCCGGCUUAACUGGGCGGGGGCCUUCCAGACGGCGUGGCUUGAGCAGCGGAGGGGGACGUGGAAUUCCGGGUGGAGCGGUGAAAUGCGUAGAGAUCCGGAGGAACACCGACGGCGCAGGCAGCGUCCUGGGCCGCUU